UCCUGGUGGGAACGUGUCAUGCCGCAGCAACUGAAUUGCCCAAAAACGACUUGUGUUUGUCCAAACUAUGACGUUUAGCAACAAUGUAAACCUUGACUAUUACGUAUCGAUGCCGAAACUUCCGAGUUGCGGUAAUGCACCCCUGAACGCAACAUCAAAGCUAUUUUUGCGUUUAACCAGAAAGUAGCAAGAUGUUCGACGUCUUCUGAUUUGGUCACCUGUGCUUUCCUCGUACAUUUGUUCGGGAAAAUCAAGUUAACUCUAUUCGUUACGUGUUUUUAUUAGUGUAUACGCGGUUAUAUCCGUCCAUUUUCUACACUGCUUAUCCCUCACUACUAGGGUAGCGGGCGUGCUGGAGACUAUCCCAGCUGACUGGGCGAGAGGCGGGGUACACCCGGAACCGAUCGCCAGCCAAUCGUAGGGCACAUAUAAACAAAUAACUUACCCCUGGAGUACCCGGGGGGAAAACACGCAGGCACGGGGAGAACAUGCAAACUCCACGAAGGCGAGGCCGGAUUUGAACCCAGGUCUUCAGAACUGUGAGGCAGAUAUGCUAACCAAUCUCGAGCGUGCGGCCUGCGCGGUUGUAUAUUUUCUUUAAAAAUAAAAAAUCCUAUUCAAGAUAUAUAUAUUUUUUUGUAAAUACAGGUACAUAAAACCACAUUUCUUCUUGUGACAUGGCAUGUUUUUCAUUCGUUCGUGUUUUAAUUAAACUAUUAUUACUAUUGUAGAUAUAAGUUGUACAUACGUCAGCUGCCUGACAUUUUAUUUGACAUCCAUCCACCCAUCCAUUUUCCGUACCGCUUAUUUUUAUUUUUAUUUUUUAAAGCCCUGUGAUAUGUAAAACCGUUUCCAAAAUAAUAACCAGGUAUAAAUAAUGGUUAUAUAAUAUAAUUUACUAUAUUAUUAAGCAUAAUGAUCGCUUUGAACUUUGCCACACAUAAUCGGAACAAUUGUUCGUUUAGUUUUCAACACGGUAGCUCUUGAGCGGUACCGCAGUAGUAGUUCACAGGGUUCAUUGCUUAUAUUAAACAAAUCUGUCAAACUACUGCAGACGAUAAAAUAAGACCUAAUGCUAUUCAUAACUAAUAAAUAUGUUUUUUUUUUGUUAGAAUAAAGCGAGGUUUCACGUUUAUGAAGUUUGCAACGGAACUCUGUAAACUCAGCCAAUUAGCGCCGAGUAUAAUGAGCGUUGCCGCUUUUCAUUGGUCAAAAUGGUAGGCGGCCCCGACUUUCCUUCCUGGUGUUACCCUAAAAUAACUCCGACUCCCCCUUGGGUGAAGGUUCACUUGCGGUGACUCGGUUACGUCCGCUGUCCACAACUUCAUUCCACCGGUUCACCUACCAUGUCUGGUCGCGUCCUCGUCGGAGUCAAGCGUGUCAUUGACUACGCAGUUAAGAUCCGGGUGAAGCCAGACAAGAGCGGCGUGGUGACCGAUGGCGUGAAACACUCGAUGAACCCCUUCUGCGAGAUCGCUGUGGAGGAGGCGGUCAAGCUGAAGGAGAAGAAACUCAUUAAGGAAGUGGUGGCAGUGAGCUGCGGGCCGCAACAGGCACUGGAGACCAUCCGCACUGCGCUCGCCAUGGGAGCCGACCGCGGCAUCCAUGUGGAGGUAUCUGGCAAGGACUACGACAACUUGGGACCCCUGCAGGUCUCUAAGGUCAUGGCUGCUUUGGCCAAGAAGGAGGAGGCUCAGCUCGUAAUACUUGGGAAACAGGCCAUCGAUGAUGACUGCAAUCAGACGGGACAAAUGACAGCAGCCCUCCUUGACUGGCCUCAGGGGACCUUUGCUUCAGAGGUGACGCUGGAAGGCGACAUGGUGAAAGUGGUGCGUGAGAUCGAUGGCGGCCUGGAAACCAUCAAGAUCAACACACCUGCCGUGGUCACCGCGGACCUCCGACUUAACACACCCCGCUACGCCACACUGCCUAAUAUCAUGAAAGCCAAGAAGAAAAAAAUUGCCAGCGUGAAGCCGGCCGAGCUGGGUGUGGAACUGACAUCCCGGCUGGAGGUGCUGCGGGUGGACGAGCCCCCGCAGAGGCAGGCUGGCAUCAAAGUGGAGACUGUGGACGAUUUGGUGGGCAAACUCAAGGAGACGGGCAGCAUAUAACGAAGCCGGAAGGGCAUAUAAAAGCCAAUGUAGCUCGGAACACAAGAGCCAGGACAAGUACUGAGAAACACUGUCCUGCUGCCGCUGCAGAACCACAGAACCUCAAGUUUUAUUUUUUUUUAAUUUUUUUUAAAAGAUGUCAAGUCUGUAUUUUAAACUAGAAAUCCAUCUUAAGGGUCAAUACAAAACCAUCUUGUUUUCAUCCGGUAAAUAAAAAUAAAUAAAUUACUAAAUCUAAACCUUAGGCUAUGCCACGCUUGUAAAUGAUUGUAAAUACAGUAUAAAGAGACAAGCAUGUUACAUAUGCAAGCAUUUUUAGCUGGAUUCCAGGACGGUGUCUCUCAGUACCAUCACACUUUGAAAAUUAUACCGCAAGCGCCUCAAUUGUACAUUAUCAUCACAAUAAAGCAGCAUUUGUUUUUCAUUAUCAAA